CUGCCUGUUAGGAUUGGAUUAAUUCGGGAAAACGGGACCUAUUACGGGUAAUUUCUUUUUUCGCCAGGAAAAAAGAUAAAAAGACGCCUCUGCUGUCACUUACAGAUGGGCCCGCGGCGCAUUAGCUAGUUGGUGGGGUAACGGCCUACCAAGGCAACGAUGCGUAGCCGACCUGAGAGGGUGAUCGGCCACACUGGGACUGAGACACGGCCCAGACUCCUACGGGAGGCAGCAGUAGGGAAUCUUCCGCAAUGGACGCAAGUCUGACGGAGCAACGCCGCGUGAGUGAUGAAGGUCUUCGGAUCGUAAAACUCUGUUAUCAGGGAAGAACCCGUAUCGGAGUAACUGCCGGUGCGUUGACGGUACCUGACCAGAAAGCCACGGCUAACUACGUGCCAGCAGCCGCGGUAAUACGUAGGUGGCAAGCGUUGUCCGGAAUUAUUGGGCGUAAAGCGCGCGCAGGCGGCUUCUUAAGUCUGAUGUGAAAGCCCACGGCUCAACCGUGGAGGGUCAUUGGAAACUGGGAGGCUUGAGUGCAGAAGAGGAGAGCGGAAUUCCACGUGUAGCGGUGAAAUGCGUAGAGAUGUGGAGGAACACCAGUGGCGAAGGCGGCUCUCUGGUCUGUAACUGACG
rnacentral:rRNA from 1 species